CCCCCCCGAAUGCUGCCAAAACUGAUGCCAUUUCAUGGCCUAGCCCAUCCUGUACCUUUUUAGUAUCUUCUAUCCACCUCCCGAUCUAGAAAUCCCUGUUCUGACUAGUGAGUGUCUGUAUCAUUUGGAGGUCACCUUUAAAGACCAUUGCUUUGUAAUAUCUGACCUUGGUUAACAGGUAUAUAACAUUAUAAUGUCCUUUUUUCCUACUCCUCUGGGCAUUUGACAUCAUAAAUCUGGGCUAAGAAGGGAAGAUUUCAAAAUAAUACUCUUGCAAGGAGAUCAAGGAGGGAGCUAAGAAAAGACAGCACUGGCUUCUGGUUUGUCAGCGUAAAUGGAGAGAGCCCAUGAUUACUUCCUGAUGGGCCUAAGAAGGCAGGCAAUCAACAUCCAGCCACUGGGAAAGAAGAGGCAUUUGUGGAGCACCAUAUUAGGAUGCUCUCUGUUAGGCAACUUCUAUUACAUGAAUACUGCGGGCUGCAUACUACAGGUCGCAGUAGGACUGGAGAAAUGUAUGGUCCAAUAAUACCUAGGGACUCAUCCAGCAAACAGUUCUUACCAAGUGUCCUGAUGGGUGUUGUUUCUAUCACUUGGGCUCUAGAGGCCUCAUGUAGGUCAAGAACCUUCUGUGUUGGACUCUGUACAACAUACAUAUAGAAACAACAGACUUUGCCCUGCAGAGCUUGCGGUCAGAGGUCCCCAUCCAGUGGUGCCAUAGAAGUUAUGGCCCGGGUUGGACUGGGUCUGAACAGGGAACACUCUUGCUUCCUGGAAUCAGCAGAUUGGAGUCUGCUAUCAUCACAGUUUAAAGAACCAUUGGGAAUGUUGCCUUUUCCCCUCUUGGUCAUUUCUUUUUCCCAAAGGAAAAAAACCCCAGAUGGAUGAAUGAUUACAACAGAUGGAUGAACGGUUACAACAACACGGUCACCAAUGGACUCUGGUCCAUUAGUGACCAUGGACCACAGUCUGAGUCCAUGACCUAUAACGACAAAAGGUGGAAACUUGUCCAGGUGUUACCAGUCACCCCUCCAAAAUGUCCUGGAAAGCAGUGGUAUCCAGUCAAUGGGAUAGAGGCUUGCACAGGGGACUGUGCUUAACAAUUAAGCUCUAAUGCAGUACUAGAGGCCUGUUGCAGUGAACACGGUAUAACAAAUCUUUGACCAUGUAUGUAGUAAAGAUAUCUUUCGUCAUCAGCAGGGCAAGUGAAAGCACCUACCAUGAGAAUUGAAAAUGCAACUCCCUUAUCUGUAAGUAAAAAGCCGGUUCUUCUCUGUUAUAUGGCUACCUGCCAGCAAGAGCCACAAACAUAGCUUUAGCUGGUAUCCAGGGUAGCACAAUAAUGACAUUCAAAAUUGACAUUAGAAGAACAUGAAGGUUACAAAGUCAAGCACUGAAAAUUUGGGAAAUGCCAGAAUUAAAGUUUCCCAUAAACUUAAUUCAACUGCUUUGUGCGUAAACAUCACUAUAGUCUUCAAUUAUGUGAUUACAGUAUUUUUUUUUCAACAAGUCUCAGGGUACAGAUGGCUGUUGCUCUCUUGGGUAGCAGCUAGUCAGUGUUUUACUGCCUCUUGGUCUUCUCAAUAGUACUUACUGCUACCACAUCCAAGUGCUUUACAAAUGUUAACACAUAAUAACUUUUCUUUCAGAUGAGGGGCUAUUCUCGUGCUCAGUUUACAAAUGGGGAACUGAAACACUUAGAUUAAUAGCAAAAGGAGACACUAAUUUGAGUACCAAACAUGAUUAAGAGUACAGGCAACUUUAUAUAUUGAAAGCCCAUCUCCUGUUGACUUCAGUUGCAUCUGCGAGUGUUCAUCACUUCUGCCAGUCAUACCUCGGGGAUCUUAAGUGAGCAACCAGAAACUGAAGAACGUGUGAAUGGUUGGUUAAUGCAACUUGCCCACCACCACAUAGAAGUGCUGUGGCAGACGCAGGGAUAAAAUCCAGCUCACCGGGGCUGAAUCCAACUGCCUUAACCAUGAAACCAACCUUUCACUUCUUGCAACCCCGUUAUGUAAGUGAUGCCCAUUCCAACUCCUGCCAGUGAGUUAUUUUAAUGAUUUUAUAAUUCAGUGGACAUCCUGACUUCUUCCUGCUUUGAUUGUUGGAUGAAGAAUUAAAACAACCUGUCCAGUCUGAACAAAUGAAUUCUUUCUCCCCACAGGUAAACGCCACAGGAGUCGAUGAGGGGUGUUGAAGGCCAAAGUCUUUAGGUCAGCAAGAAGGAAUAGCUUCUACCUGUGCAUCUAUGGGAAAUUCCAGAGGGAGUAGGGUUACACAGAAGAAUCCACUAUAAAACACUGCUAAGUUUCAGGAGUCUGUGGAAUAAUAAUGCAAUAGCAGCCAAAAACAUAAGAAGGAUGGAAAACGUUUGCUCCACCAUCUCACAAUAACUGCUUAUUACCAGCCUUUGUCUGUGGUAGGGCCCGCAACACGUGAGGCUCUUUUCCGUGUGCAUGAGAGGAAAAGCUGUUUUGCAAUAACAACAUGCAAGAUGCAACAUGACAUGCAGUGAGCUUUCAUUCGAGACAGAAAGAAUUGGAAAUCAGCCAUCUUGAAUCAAAUCCCACAGGGAUGCGAUUCCUUCGACCCUGUCCUCUCAAAGCAUCAUAAACAAUCAGUUUGUCAGCGUUCAAAACUGCUUUCCCCUUCUCCCCAAGUGUGAUUUUUAAUAAAGCUUUGGUUAUCUGUA